AGCAGCCGCGGUAAUUCCAGCUCCAAUAGCGUAUAUUAAAGUUGUUGCAGUUAAAAAGCCCGUAGUUGAAUUUCGGGGUCAGCAAGUUGGUCGUGCCACCGGUAUGCACUGGCUUUGCUGAUUCCUCCUUCUUGUAGAACCGUAAUGCCAUUAAGUUGGUGUUGCGGGGAAACAGGACUGUUACUUUGAAAAAAUUAGAGUGUUUAAAGCAGGCUAAGGCUUGAAUACAUUAGCAUGGAAUAAUGAAAUAGGACGACGAUCCUAUUUUGUUGGUUUCUAGGAUUGACGUAAUGAUUAAUAGGGAUAGUUGGGGGCAUUAGUAUUCAAUUGUCAGAGGUGAAAUUCUUGGAUUUAUUGAAGACUGACUACUGCGAAAGCAUUUGCCAAGGAUGUUUUCAUUAAUCAAGAACGAAAGUUAGGGGAUCGAAGACGAUCAGAUACCGUCGUAGUCUUAACCAUAAACUAUGCCGACUAGGGAUCGGAUGAUGUUAAUUUUAUAAUGACUCA
rnacentral:rRNA from 1 species